AGUUAUAAAUUAUACACAACAAAUGAAAACUGUAUUGAAAACUGUAUUGCUUUCUUGCGCGUAUUCACCGUUGUGCGGAAAAAAAAAGAAAAUCGGGGAGAGCAUCAGAAAUCCAAGAUGGUAAGUACCUUCCAGACGCACAUACAUUCGUGUCUUCCUUAUUUUAUGAAAUAAGAAGUUUUUAUUAUUUACUGUGCAUAUUUUUAGGAAAAAAUGGAUUGUACCAUGGCGGAGAGCCAAGGAAAUGGUGAAUUGGCAAAAAAUACAGAGCAGAAUCACUUCUGUUUAGGAACAGAUAAAUCAGGGGAGGAAAGAAAGUAGCGAGAAACCUAAUGAGGAAAUGAACAAGGACUUGAACAAGGAAUUAAUUCAAUUACUCGCAACAUAUAAGAAACAAAAUGCAGAGCUCAAAAAGGAACUGAAGCGACUGAAAUAUAGUCGAGGAGCAAGAGGAGGAGGUAGAGGAAGAGGCGGAGGAGAGGGUAGACGAAGAGGAGGCAGAG